CCUACGGGAGGCAGCAGUGGGGAAUUUUGGACAAUGGGCGCAAGCCUGAUCCAGCAAUGCCGCGUGAGUGAAGAAGGCCUUCGGGUUGUAAAGCUCUUUUGUCAGGGAAGAAACGGUGGGGGCUAAUAUCUCCUGCUAAUGACGGUACCUGAAGAAUAAGCACCGGCUAACUACGUGCCAGCAGCCGCGGUAAUACGUAGGGUGCAAGCGUUAAUCGGAAUUACUGGGCGUAAAGCGUGCGCAGGCGGUUUUGUAAGUUUGUCGUGAAAUCCCCGGGCUCAACCUGGGAAUGGCGAUGAAGACUGCAAGGCUAGAAUCUGGCAGAGGGGGGUAGAAUUCCACGUGUAGCAGUGAAAUGCGUAGAGAUGUGGAGGAACACCGAUGGCGAAGGCAGCCCCCUGGGUCAAGAUUGACGCUCAUGCACGAAAGCGUGGGGAGCAAACAGGAUUAGAUACCCUGGUAGUCCACGCCCUAAACGAUGUCUACUAGUUGUCGGGUUUUAAUUAACUUGGUAACGCAGCUAACGCGUGAAGUAGACCGCCUGGGGAGUACGGUCGCAAGAUUAAAACGCAAAUGAAAUUGACGG
rnacentral:rRNA from 1 species